rnacentral:miRNA from 1 species
UUCAAGGUUUGCGCUCUGCAACU